rnacentral:lncRNA from 1 species
GCAAGAAAGGAAUACAUGCAAACAAUUCGCGCUGGGUACAGAUGAUACAAUCCGACGGUGAAAAAUUGCCAAAUGAGAUCUGAUGGUCGCAGAAGAAAACAUACAAACAAUUCAAGUCUACAUAUUAUCGAGAGAGAAAAUUAAUAAAAACAAAUAUUUUUCCUAACUUUCAAGUGCUCUUCCUCCAUUCUCUCUCUUCUUAAAGAUGUAGACACCAUCGUCGGCGAUGCGGCAACGCUCAAACCUUAUUCCAGGCUGUUGAAUCGAAGCUCCCCGACUCCAUUACUCCUCUCUGUUAAUUCUUACAAUUUCUGAGCCUUUAUUUCUUUCUCAAAAUCAAGCAAAGCAAAAUAUACAAAAAAUAAAAAUCAAUUAAAACUCAGUUCAGUUUUCCUUCUUU